rnacentral:rRNA from 1 species
UACAGAGGUCCCAAGCGUUGUUCGGAUUCAUUGGGCGUAAAGGGUGCGUAGGCGGCGCGGUAAGUCGGGUGUGAAAUCUCGGAGCUUAACUCCGAAACUGCAUUCGAUACUGCCGUGCUGGAGGACUGGAGAGGAGACUGGAAUUUACGGUGUAGCGGUGAAAUGCGUAGAUAUCGUAAGGAAGACCAGUGGCGGAAGGCGGGUCUCUGGACAGUUCCUGACGCUGAGGAGCGAAAGCGUGGGGAGCGAACAGG